GGGGAUGUAUUGGUAUUCGACAGAAUGUAAGGUUUAUUUGUUGCAAUCGGGGGAUUUCACCGUUUCCCCCCAGAUCCAACGGUGAAAACAUAAGUGCAACAACUUUUGUUGAUAAGAUGGCUGCUAAGUUAGCUGCAAGAGAAUUCGGGUUUCAACCUGCAUUCGCUUACGCUGCUUAGUGUCGUCGAGGCCUGAUUAAAUCGGGCCACGUUCAUGAUUCCGAUAUCUGCUGAGUUUCAUGGGCGUAAUUAAGCAGGUUAAGCUGGCGGGUUCCUUCUCGGCCCGUUGGACGAAAACCUAGAGAAUAAGCGUUGGAAGUUUUUUGUUUGUCUUCUAUUUCCGACGAUGAAAACUCAAGACAAAAUAAGAUUGUAGACGCAAGUUCUCCUCAUCUCUGGACCCGGGUUCGACUCCCGGCAUCUCCACCA
rnacentral:tmRNA from 1 species